GAAUUGAUAUAUAUUUAUAUUUGUGUGUUUAUCGUGUAAUAGUGUGAUGGAGUUAUUAGCGGCCCUGGUUUAUAGAAAUUUACUCCGUCGAGAGCAUUUGGGAAACUUCAAACAUCAUCAAUUGUGGUUCUGUUGUGCUGCUUGAGAUUUGGAUUAUCCUAGUACUCAACGGUAUGACGGUGAUUCUGGAUUGUUUUGAGUAUUACAAUUCUAUUCGCAUAUUAUUAUGUCUAUGGAUGAUGUCUACCCACACAGGAACUGUUUAUCAGCUACUCAGAACAACUGGUAACGCAACAACGUCAUCGUGCUGUCUGUGGUACAAUCUACUGAAUGUCCUGGAGUGGAAAACCGUAACAGUGAUGAUGGAGUAGUGAAGUAGUGACUGCCUCGAAGUGCCUUGGGGUGUGGUGUUGCCUGGAUUGCAUGAAACAAGAGAGAAAUCCGGCAGCGUGGCGCUUAAGAUUAUGCAAAAAAUAGUGAACAAUAGUAUUUGAGGAAAAAACUUUUUGUGAAAGAGAGGUAAGUAUGCUUGAAGUGUAACACUGCCAUGUUAAACAUGUUUCAAUAAAAUUUUUGAACAC
rnacentral:lncRNA from 1 species